rnacentral:rRNA from 1 species
UACGUAGGGCGCAAGCGUUUGUCCGGAAUUAUUGGGCGUAAAGAGCUUGUAGGCGGUUUGUCGCGUCUGCUGUGAAAUUUCGGGGCUCAACCCCGAACUUGCAGUGGGUACGGGCAGACUAGAGUGUGGUAGGGGAGACUGGAAUUCCUGGUGUAGCGGUGAAAUGCGCAGAUAUCGAGGAGGAACACCGAGUGGCGAAAGGCAGGUCUCUGGGACCGAUAACUGACGCUGAGACGCGAAAGCGUGGGGAGCAAACAGG